CCUACGGGUGGCUGCAGUGAGGAAUAUUGGUCAAUGGGCGAGAGCCUGAACCAGCCAAGUCGCGUGAGGGAAGACGGUCCUAUGGAUUGUAAACCUCUUUUGCCGGGGAGCAAAAAGCGGUACGUGUACCGCAUCGAGAGUACCCGGAGAAAAAGCAUCGGCUAACUCCGUGCCAGCAGCCGCGGUAAUACGUAGGGGGCAAGCGUUAUCCGGAUUUACUGGGUGUAAAGGGAGCGUAGACGGCAGCGCAAGUCUGGAGUGAAAUCCCAUGGCUUAACCAUGGAACUGCUUUGGAAACUGUGCAGCUGGAGUGCAGGAGAGGUAAGCGGAAUUCCUAGUGUAGCGGUGAAAUGCGUAGAUAUUAGGAGGAACACCAGUGGCGAAGGCGGCUUACUGGACUGUAACUGACGUUGAGGCUCGAAAGCGUGGGGAGCAAACAGGAUUAGAUACCCGUGUAGUC
rnacentral:rRNA from 1 species